rnacentral:rRNA from 1 species
GGACCAAGGAGUCUAGCAUGUGCGCGAGUCAUUGGGACAUAACUAAACCUAAAGGCGCAAUGAAAGUAAAGGUCUACCUUGCGUAGACCGAGGGAAGAUGAGCGGUUCGCCCUCAAAGUGGCCGCUCCGCAUUCCCGGGGCGUCUCGUUCUCAUUGCGAGAAGAGGCGCACCAAGAGCGUACACGCUGGGACCCGAAAGAUGGUGAACUAUGCCUGGUCAGGACGAAGUCAGGGGAAACCCUGAUGGAGGUCCGUAGCGAUUCUGACGUGCAAAUCGAUCGUCGGAACUGGGUAUAGGGGCGAAAGACUAAUCGAACCAUCUAGUAGCUGGUUCCCUCCGAAGUUUCCCUCAGGAUAGCUGGCGCUCGUUGCGUACGAGUUUCAUCCGGUAAAGCGAAUGAUUAGAGGUAUUGGGAUCGAAACGAUCUCAACCUAUUCUCAAACUUUAAAUGGGUGAGAUCUCCGGCUUGCUCGAACUCUUAUGAAGCCGCGAGACUCGAAUCAGAGUGCCAAGUGGGCCAUUUUUGGUAAGCAGAACUGGCGCUGUGGGAUGAACCAAACGUCGAGUUAAAGCGCCUAAAUCGACGCUUAUGGGAUACCAUGAAAGGCGUUGGUAACUUAAGACAGCAGGACGGUGGCCAUGGAAGUCGGAAU